UAGGGAAUAUUGGACAAUGGGGGCAACCCUGAUCCAGCCAUGCCGCGUGAGUGAAGAAGGCCCUCGGGUUGUAAAGCUCUUUUGUCCGGAAAGAAAAGCUUCGGGUUAAUACCCCGGGGUUCUGACGUUACCGGAAGAAUAAGCACAGGCUAACUUCGUGCCAGCAGCCGCGGUAAUACGAAGGGUGCAAGCGUUACUCGGAAUUACUGGGCGUAAAGCGUGCGUAGGUGGUUGUUUAAGUCCGAUGUGAAAGCCCUGGGCUCAACCUGGGAAUGGCAUUGGAAACUGGGCAGCUAGAGUGCGGUAGAGGGUAGUGGAAUUCCCGGUGUAGCAGUGAAAUGCGUAGAGAUCGGGAGGAACAUCUGUGGCGAAGGCGACUGCCUGGACCAGCACUGACACUGAGGCACGAAAGCGUGGGGAGCAAACA
rnacentral:rRNA from 1 species